UACGUAGGGGGCGAGCGUUGUCCGGAAUUAUUGGGCGUAAAGAGCGUGUAGGCUGUUCGGUAAGUCUGCCGUGAAAACCUGAGGCUCAACCUCGGGCGUGCGGUGGAUACUGCCGGGCUAGAGGACGGUAGAGGCGAGUGGAAUUCCCGGUGUAGCGGUGAAAUGCGCAGAUAUCGGGAGGAACACCAGUAGCGAAGGCGGCUCGCUGGGCCGUUCCUGACACUGAGACGCGAAAGCUAGGGGAGCGAAUAGG
rnacentral:rRNA from 1 species